UUGGUUAAGUCCUCGACCGAUUAGUAUUAGUCCGCUUCAUGCGUCACCGCACUGCCACUUCUAACCUAUCUACCUGAUCAUCUUUCAGGGGUCUUACUUCCAUAAAGGAAUGGGAAAUCUCAUCUCGAGGUGUGUUUCACACUUAGAUGCUUUCAGCGUUUAUCACAUCCAUACGUAGCUACCCAGCGAUGCGCCUGGCGGCACAACUGGUACACCAGAGGUAUGUCCAUCCCGGUCCUCUCGUACUAAGGACAGGUCCUCUCAAAUUUCCUACGCCCGCGACGGAUAGGGACCGAACUGUCUCACGACGUUCUGAACCCAGCUCGCGUACCGCUUUAAUGGGCGAACAGCCCAACCCUUGGGACCGACUACAGCCCCAGGAUGCGAUGAGCCGACAUCGAGGUGCCAAACCUCCCCGUCGAUGUGGACUCUUGGGGGAGAUAAGCCUGUUAUCCCCAGGGUAGCUUUUAUCCGUUGAGCGAUGGCCCUUCCAUACGGUACCACCGGAUCACUAAGCCCGACUUUCGUCCCUGCUCGACCUGUCUGUCUCGCAGUCAAGCUCCCUUGUGCCUUUACACUCUGCGAAUGAUUUCCAACCAUUCUGAGGGAACCUUUGGGCGCCUCCGUUACUUUUUAGGAGGCGACCGCCCCAGUCAAACUGCCCACCUGACACUGUCUCCCACCACGAUUAGUGGUGCGGGUUAGAGUGGUCAUACAGCGAGGGUAGUAUCCCACCAACGCCUCCACCGAAACUAGCGUUCCGGUUUCUAUGGCUCCUACCUAUCCUGUACAAGCUGUACAAACACUCAAUAUCAAGCUACAGUAAAGCUCCAUGGGGUCUUUCCGUCCUGUCGCGGGUAGUCCGCAUCUUCACGGACAAUAUAAUUUCACCGAGUCUCUCGUUGAGACAGUGCCCAGAUCGUUACGCCUUUCGUGCGGGUCGGAACUUACCCGACAAGGAAUUUCGCUACCUUAGGACCGUUAUAGUUACGGCCGCCGUUUACUGGGGCUUCAAUUCUGAGCUUCGCCGAAGCUAACCCAUCCUUUUAACCUUCCAGCACCGGGCAGGCGUCAGCCCCUAUACGUCAUCUUACGAUUUUGCAGAGACCUGUGUUUUUGAUAAACAGUCGCCUGGGCCUAUUCACUGCGGCUGAUCUUGCGAUCAGCACCCCUUCUCCCGAAGUUACGGGGUCAUUUUGCCGAGUUCCUUAACGAGAGUUCACUCGCUCACCUUAGGAUUCUCUCCUCGACUACCUGUGUCGGUUUGCGGUACGGGUAGUUAAGUACUCACUAGAAGCUUUUCUCGGCAGUGUGACAUCAGACGCUUCGCUACUAAAUUUCGCUCCCCAUCACAGCUUGUCCUUAAAGUGAAAAGCAUUUGACUCUUCACAAGACUUACUGCUUGGACAUUCUAAUCCAACAGAAUGCACAUCUUAGCCUCCUGCGUCCCUCCAUUGCUCAAACGCACUUAACUAGUACAGGAAUCUCAACCUGUUAUCCAUCGUCUACGCCUCUCGGCCUCGACUUAGGUCCCGACUAACCCUGGGAGGACGAGCCUUCCCCAGGAAACCUUAGUCAUUCGGUGGAUAGGAUUCUCACCUAUCUUUCGCUACUCAUACCGGCAUUCUCACUUCUAAGCGCUCCACAAGUCCUCACGAUCUUGCUUCACCGCCCUUAGAACGCUCUCCUAUCACGCGACCUAAUGGUCGCAUCCAUGGUUUCGGUAGUAUGCUUAGCCCCGGUACAUUUUCGGCGCAGGAUCACUCGACUAGUGAGCUAUUACGCACUCUUUAAAUGGUGGCUGCUUCUGAGCCAACAUCCUAGUUGUCUAUGCAACUCCACAUCCUUUUCCACUUAGCAUACAUUUAGGGACCUUAACUGAUGGUCUGGGCUGUUCCCCUUUCGACGGUGGAUCUUAUCACUCAUCGUCUGACUCCCGGAUAUGAAUCAAUGGCAUUCGGAGUUUAUCUGAAUUCAGUAACCCAAGACGGGCCCCUAGUCCAAAUAGUGCUCUACCUCCAUGAUCCUAAUUCCGAGGCUAGCCCUAAAGCUAUUUCGGAGAGAACCAGCUAUCUCCAAGUUCGUUUGGAAUUUCACCGCUAUCCACACCUCAUCCCAGCAAUUUUCAACUUACACGGGUUCGGUCCUCCAGUGCGUUUUACCGCACCUUCAACCUGGACAUGGAUAGGUCACCUGGUUUCGGGUCUAUAACCUCGUACUCAAAACGCCCAUUUCAGACUCGCUUUCGCUACGGCUCCGACUUUUUAGUCUUAACCUUGCACGGGAUCAUAACUCGCCGGUUCAUUCUACAAAAGGCACGCCAUCACGCAUUAACGCGCUCUGACUUAUUGUAGGCACAUGGUUUCAGGAACUAUUUCACUCCCCUCCCGGGGUGCUUUUCACCUUUCCCUCACGGUACUGGUUCACUAUCGGUCACUAGGUAGUAUUUAGCCUUGGGAGAUGGUCCUCCCGGAUUCCGACGGAAUUUCACGUGUUCCGCCGUACUCAGGAUCCUGAACUGAGAGAAUUUGAUUUAAUCUACUGGGCUAUCACCAUCUAUGGCGGAUUUUCCCAAAUCCUUCGACUAUCAAGUUCUUUGGUAACUCAAAUGUUCAGUCCUACAACCCCAAAGUGCAAGCACUUUGGUUUGGGCUGUUCCCCGUUCGCUCGCCGCUACUUAGGGAAUCGAAAUUUCUUUAUAUUCCUGCUGCUAAUGAGAUGUUUCAGUUCACAGCGUUUACCUCCAACUAGACUAUGAAUUCAUCUAGUGGUAACAGUUGAUUAAAACUGCUGGGUUGCCCCAUUCGGAAAUCUCCGGAUCAUAGCUUACGUACAGCUCCCCGAAGCAUAUCGGUGUUAGUCCCGUCCUUCGUCGGCUCCUAGUGCCAAGGCAUUCACCAUGCGCCCUUGUUAACUUAA
rnacentral:rRNA from 1 species